AUUAGGCUGCGAUUACACCUGUAAGUUUUACACAGGUAAGUAGCUUACGUAAUUAACUUCAAUAAAUUUACUAAUGCAAACACUCUUUACUAAUAAGAGAAUGUUUACAUUAG